rnacentral:rRNA from 1 species
UACGAAGGGGGCUAGCGUUGCUCGGAAUCACUGGGCGUAAAGCGCACGUAGGCGGAUUGCUAAGUCAGGGGUGAAAUCCUGGAGCUCAACUCCAGAACUGCCCUUGAUACUGGCGGUCUCGAGUCCGGGAGAGGUGAGUGGAACUGCGAGUGUAGAGGUGAAAUUCGUAGAUAUUCGCAAAGAACACCAGUGGCGAAGGCGGCUCACUGGCCCGGUACUGACGCUGAGGUGCGAAAGCGUGGGGAGCAACAGG